rnacentral:rRNA from 1 species
AAUGUCUGGGAAACUGCCUGAUGGAGGGGGAUAACUACUGGAAACGGUAGCUAAUACCGCAUAACGUCGCAAGACCAAAGAGGGGGACCUUCGGGCCUCUUGCCAUCGGAUGUGCCCAGAUGGGAUUAGCUAGUAGGUGGGGUAACGGCUCACCUAGGCGACGAUCCCUAGCUGGUCUGAGAGGAUGACCAGCCACACUGGAACUGAGACACGGUCCAGACUCCUACGGGAGGCAGCAGUGGGGAAUAUUGCACAAUGGGCGCAAGCCUGAUGCAGCCAUGCCGCGUGUAUGAAGAAGGCCUUCGGGUUGUAAAGUACUUUCAGCGGGGAGGAAGGGAGUAAAGUUAAUACCUUUGCUCAUUGACGUUACCCGCAGAAGAAGCACCGGCUAACUCCGUGCCAGCAGCCGCGGUAAUACGGAGGGUGCAAGCGUUAAUCGGAAUUACUGGGCGUAAAGCGCACGCAGGCGGU